rnacentral:lncRNA from 1 species
AUGGGAGUCGGGGCCUGCGGGAGAAAACAAGUGCAAGUCAACAGUGCCACGCAGCAGCAACAAACGCCAACGCCAUUCAAUGCAUCCAAACUUCCCGGCAGACAAAGCAAUGGUUGGACGUCUGUCGGGAGAGUUUUGAUGGUGUCAUGGAGGGAUGGGAUUCAUCUCUAUAAGGCUGGUUGGACGUCUGUCGGGAGAGUUUUGAUGGUGUCAUGGAGGGACGGGAUCCUCCAUCUCUAUAAGGCUGGUUGGACGUCUGUCGGGAGAGUUUUGAUGGUGUCAUGGAGGGAUGGGAUCCUCCAUCUCUAUAAGGCUGGUUGGACGUCUGUCGGGAAAGUUUUGAUGGUGUCAUGGAGGGACGGGAGUGGACUGGAUGGCCUUUGGGGGUCUCUUCCAACCCUAGGAUUCUUACAGCCCUAUUUCUCCAUCUCUAUAAGGCUGGUUGGACGUCUGUCGGGAAAGUUUUGAUGGUGUCAUUGACGGACGGGAGUGGACUGGAUGGCCUUUGGGGGUCUCUUCCAACCCUAGGAUUCUUACAGCCCUAUUUCUCCAUCUCUAUAAGGCUGGUUGGACGUCUGUCGGGAG